rnacentral:rRNA from 1 species
UGCCAGCAGCCGCGGUAACACGUAGGGCGCAAGCGUUGUCCGGAAUCAUUGGGCGUAAAGAGCUCGUAGGUGGUUUGUUGCGUCCGCUGUGAAAAUCCAGGGCUUAACCCUGGACUUGCAGUGGAUACGGGCAGACUAGAGGUAGGUAGGGGAGAAUGGAAUUCCCGGUGUAGCGGUGAAAUGCGCAGAUAUCGGGAGGAACACCGGUGGCGAAGGCGGUUCUCUGGGCCUUACCUGACACUGAGGAGCGAAAGCGUGGGGAGCGAACAGGAUUAGAUACCCUGGUAGUCCACGCCGUAAACGUUGGGCGCUAGGUGUGGGGUCCUUCCACGGAUUCCGUGCCGCAGCUAACGCAUUAAGCGCCCCGCCUGGGGAGUACGGCCGCAAGGCUAAAGCUCAAAGGAAUUGAACGGGGGCCCGCACAAGA